GAAUCAAAAACUUUCAACAACGGAUCUCUUGGUUCUGGCAUCGAUGAAGAACGCAGCGAAAUGCGAUAAGUAAUGUGAAUUGCAGAAUUCAGUGAAUCAUCGAAUCUUUGAACGCACAUUGCGCCCCUUGGUAUUCCGAGGGGCAUGCCUGUUCGA
rnacentral:rRNA from 1 species